AACGAACGCUGGCGGCAUGCCUAACACAUGCAAGUCGAACGAUGCCUUCGGGCAUAGUGGCGCACGGGUGCGUAACGCGUGGGAAUCUGCCCUUGGCUUCGGAAUAACAGUUAGAAAUGACUGCUAAUACCGGAUGAUGUCCCCCUGAGAGAUCUUGGGGACCAAAGAUUUAUCGGCCAGGAUGAGCCCGCGUAGGAUUAGGUAGUUGGUGGGGUAAAGGCCUACCAAGCCGACGAUCCUUAGCUGGUCUGAGAGGAUGAUCAGCCACACUGGGACUGAGACACGGCCCAGACUCCUACGGGAGGCAGCAGUGGGGAAUAUUGGACAAUGGGGGGAACCCUGAUCCAGCAAUGCCGCGUGAGUGAUGAAGGCCUUAGGGUUGUAAAGCUCUUUUACCAGGGAUGAUAAUGACAGUACCUGGAGAAUAAGCUCCGGCUAACUCCGUG
rnacentral:rRNA from 1 species